AAAUUGAAGAGUUUGAUCAUGGCUCAGAUUGAACGCUGGCGGCAGGCCUAACACAUGCAAGUCGAACGGUAACAGGAAGCAGCUUGCUGCUUCGCUGACGAGUGGCGGACGGGUGAGUAAUGUCUGGGAAACUGCCUGAUGGAGGGGGAUAACUACUGGAAACGGUAGCUAAUACCGCAUAACGUCGCAAGACCAAAGAGGGGGACCUUCGGGCCUCUUGCCAUCGGAUGUGCCCAGAUGGG
rnacentral:rRNA from 1 species